rnacentral:rRNA from 1 species
UACGUAGGCAGCGAGCGUUGUUCGGAGUUACUGGGCGUAAAGCGUGCGUAGGCGGUGGUCCAAGUCUGGUGUGAAAUCUCCCGGCUCAACCGGGAGGGUGCGCCGGAAACUGGGCUGCUGGAGUGCGGGAGGGGCAAGCGGAAUUCCAGGUGUAGCGGUGAAAUGCGUAGAUAUCUGGAGGAACACCCGUGGUGCAGACGGCUUGCUGGACCGUGACUGACGCUGAGGCACGAAAGCGUGGGUAGCAAACAGGAUUAGAAACCCCUGUAGUCC